GUAAAUGAUCAUUCUCCCGAACCGGAAGCUAUUCUUCUUAAUCAACAAUUACAUAAAAGCAAAACAUAGCUCUGGAAACAACAUGUUAAGCAUAGCUCUGGAAACAACAUGUUAAGCUUGAUCCAAUACGAUAAAAUUCCGCAUACUUCCAACUCAGAGAGCUAACAUCCCAUUAAUUGGAACGAAUCACAAAUAAAAUAAACUUGUUCAGAGCCAACACCACAAAAUGUUGGACAACAUUGUAUAGCA
rnacentral:lncRNA from 1 species